ACAGAACAAGCUGCUCUUCUAGACAUUGCUGGCAAGUCUUGUCCACUGCGUGUUCGUAAAACAGGCUUAAAGGUUAGAAUGAAUUAAAUGAGGGGUAUAGUAGUAAUUGAAUAAAUAGUUGAUAAAUAUAACUAGAGAGAAGGAAAAAAAAAACAAAAAACAAAAGAAGAGAUCUGAAAUUUAAGAACAAACCGUGAGAGAGAAAGGAGGAAGAAGAAGAAGAAGAGAAAAGAGGGGAAAAUAAGGGAAAAAGAAAAGGAGUUGGAGGAAAUAAGUUUAAAGAUAAUCCUGAUAUUCUACCGGCGGGACGUCAGUAGGAUUUUUCUUCGAUAUCAGCUUUGAGUUUUAUUGCUUUCAAGUCAGGCUUAUAGCUUGAUAGCAGGUCAUUUUGUUGGACCUUCAGAACCUGCUCUUUUGGUAGUAAUUUGUACCUUCCUUUAUGUCUAGUUAGUGCUCCAAAACUCUGAACUUAUAUAAACUCUUGUAUUAAGACAAUUCAAUUAUAUUAUGAAGUUGAUUUUGUUGUUAA